UACGAAGGGGGCUAGCGUUGCUCGGAAUUACUGGGCGUAAAGCGCACGUAGGCGGUCUUUUAAGUCGGGGGUGAAAUCCUGGAGCUCAACUCCAGAACUGCCUUCGAUACUGGAAGACUUGAGUCCGGGAGAGGUGAGUGGAACUGCGAGUGUAGAGGUGAAAUUCGUAGAUAUCGGGAGGAACACCCAUGGCGAAGGCAGCAAGCUGGGCGACACCUGACGCUGAGGCGCGAAAGCGUGGGUAGCAAACAGG
rnacentral:rRNA from 1 species